UUUUUUUUUUUUGAAAACCUGAAACUGAGAAAAGGAAAACAUUAUUGGAAAAAGAAAGAAAAACUAAAAGAAAACAUACGCUACAAAAGAGUUGUCUCCUCCAGGAUCAAAGAUUAGUCUUGGAACUUCUCUGGGAUAUGAGUCUUCAAUGCGUUCUCCUUAUGACAAGUCUUGAGGAAAGCGUUUUGAGGGCCAUCUAUGCUUCACUUUGGCUCCAUUUGAGUCUUGAUAACGUCCCAUAUGAGCAAAGAUCAAGUGUGCAUUAAAAGAAACUUUGUUGCACAUUGAACUUCUUUGGUUGAUGUUUUGAUGAAGUGUGAAGGGCAGACCUUCUUCUAGGACGUUUUCAGGGACCUUUGUAGCUCCUCCAGGAUCAAAGACUGGUUCUUCUCCACUGCUUAUGGUCAGGCAAAGAGAGUUCUUUGCAUCCUUUCUCAUCUCCAUAACAUGGAAAUCAUUAAGAAGAAGACAAUCUUCAACUUGAAGAGGCAAACUCCGUGUGAAACCUAAUAGAGCUGCAGUAGAAAGAUCUUUAACAUGAAUAUAAACCAUAGAUGAAUGAAAUUUCGAAAUACCUGUUCCCUUAGAGAGUUUUGGUAUUUGAAUCACAUCGGAUUUGAUAUCACAAAGAGAAUCAUGAACUUCUAUUCCUUGCUCUUCUUCAGGAGCUUCAAUCAGCGACUUCACCAUUAGUGUAUCAUCUUUCAUGAGAUUUUUCUCACACUCAAAGUUGUGAGGAGUUGAUGCCGAGGAAGGCUUUAGCUAAUCAAGAACAGGAGGAUUGUGAUCCCCUUUAUCUACUUCGAGGCACUCGAAUGGUUUGGUAGUGAUGAGGUCAUUGCUGGGAACAAAAACAGGUUCUUCUCUUCCUUGGUAAAGGGAUUCGAUGAUGGGAGAAUUAGGAUCCAAGAGAUUUUCAUUGGACAUGGUAUUCUUAACAAAUUUGAAGGAGGUUUAUCCAUCUAAUUCAUAAGCUACCCAACAUCCAUCAUCUCUAGACUCGAAUUCAUUGAGCUCUUGAAGCAUAUUUUCUAUCUCUUCAGCAUCUUGUUGAUUCAUCUCAGCAACAAGUCGACUAAGCUUGGGACUUAGCCAAUUUUGUUGUGAACUAAAUCGAUGGGGAUGAGAUGGUUGAUGACUUUCCAUGGGAGAAUACACUUCAUCUCGGUAGUGAUGGUUCUGAUGAGAGUUCCAAUCCAUGUCGUACGAUUCAUUGUAGGCAUAUGAAUGAGAAUACUGAGAAACACACAGGUAGAAACACCCUCACCCAAUGAUCUCAUAUUGCUCCCAAGGUGAAUACAUGUUCCAGAAACCUGAAACAAAGAAAAACAAAAGAAAUUUUAAAAGAAAAAGGUGUCUAAGAUUCGGGUUUACUAACCUAUGAAGUUUGGCAGAAGCAAGAGCGAAUCUAUCCCCGAAAACGGCGCCAAAAACUUGAUGCGAGCUAGGGUUGCUGUCGCAAAAUACUUUUAAAUUUAUAAACUCUAGUGUCUGCAAGUUCACAGCCGUGCAUUAUAGUACUUAGGGUGUCGAUCCACAGGGAGAGUUGUCUUUUCUACAGAAACUUCAAACUGGAUUAGUACUCAAACUCAAAGACCAAUGGGGUUUUUUUUUGUGGAGUUUUGGUGUCACGAUUUCUACUAAGCUAAACAGGAAAUAAGAAUAGAUCAAAACAAUGAUGAAAAACGUGCUGGGCAUUAGGGUUCAUCUAUAUGGUUCAUGAUCUAUGACACAAGGAAUCUAGGUAAGGAUUUUCUAUGAUUCUGAAACUAGGAUAGACACUGGUAAGAUUAGUCAACUCUCAUCACCCUAAUCAUCUAAUCACUUAUUCAUGGCAAUUAACUCUCGCUCUCAUUCCAGAACAAGAUCAUGCAUUUCAGCUUGGAAUCCAUCUCGGCUUACGUAUCCUCCGUAGGUAGCUUUCGUCUCCUACGACGGUGACGUCCAUAAGAUCCAGUUCAGGCAACCCAGAUACAACACUCUCGUGGCUCGGAUUCAACCUAGCAUCGGACACUGGUUAGCAACUCCAGCGUUACCGCAUUGAGAUUUAGAUGAAUGGGAGAAUCAUUUAAAAUUGAAAUCCUUUAACCUAAAAAAAUCUAGAUGUCAUCGAUCAUGGAGUCCCUUUCGAUGGCCCUCUUCACCCAGCAAGGUGACAACUCAGACAUGGCUGAGCUUGACAACAUCAUCAUUGGUUUUGAAAUAGAAAAGCAGUAAAGUAAAAGAGAUUGCAUAAACUGAAUAGAUAGAUGAAAAGAAAUAGCAAAGGUUCAAGAGAAAAAUCUCUAUCUCCCUAAUCUAAACCUAAGAAACAAAAGUUGGGUGCCUCCCUAUCAAGGGGAAAGGAGCACACACGAAAUAGGGUUUCUAAAGUACAUAUUUAUAGGUCUCCAAGUGGUUCUGGUCGUCCUUUGGGCUUCUUUUGCAGAGAGAAUGAGUUGGGCUUGAAAACUGGCUAUUGGGCCGUUUAUGGGCUUGUCGCAGAAUUUGGCUUCUCCAAAUCUGGUAAAUGAUGUUCCACCGUGGGUGAAAGGCUCUGAGGCGUGGCCAGGAUGGUGUUCACAGCGGUCACGAGCUCCUGGGCCGCGGUGAUUGGUCUAUGAUCUCCAAACUUCAUUCCUUCUCUAGCUUCUUUCGCGAGACUACAAAACAUGUCUUCAGUACAUUGGAAAUAACUUAUGAUCCAACCGUUAGAUUGCUUUGAUUCCACUUGUAUUGAAAAUCUGGUUGUGUAAUCUAUCGUUUGUCCAAAUUUGAGCUUGAUCAGAAGUUAAGAGGUCUUCAUCAGAUGUGAAACUUCUGACGGUCCAAAAUUGGCCAAAAGUGGAUUUUUUUUCCAAUUUGCAUUGUUUUGCCUAAGUAACCUGAAAAAGUCUUUCAAAACUCCAAAACAUGGAAAACACUUAUAAAAAAUUCAAAACUGAUUGAAUACACCUGCAUAAGAUACUGAAAGUGAUCCAUAAAAAUGGUCAAAAUCAGGUGUUAUCAAAUGCCCAUCAUGAAGCCUAGCCCCAAGAGACUUCAAAUCACCCUUCAAUUCCAUCCGAUCCUCAGUAAUUGCUUCGUCCCACCAGAUAUGUCUAUAUUUUGCAUCAUUUAAGCUGCAUUUUAGAGUCCAAAUCAUGUGUUUUCUCAUUCAUUUUAGGUCUUUAGGCAUCAAAUAGGCUUUAGGGUUUGCAUUAGGUCCCAAAGAGUUUUGCAUGGUUUGGAGUCUUUAUCAGGUGCAUUGGAGGCUAUUUGAAGCUCAAGAGGUGCGAUCAGGAGUUUAAAUGGGGAAGAAGAAGUUUAAAAAUGGUGAAAACCGCUUCGAGGAAUUUCUCGGCGAAAACUCGUACCGGCUGAAUCAGAAUAUCGGCUAAAAAUGCUUUCGGGAAGUCUUUAUCGGAUAAAAAUCAUUACCGAGUGAAAAUCCCAUCGGGUGAAGUUUUAUGCCGAGACGGGAAGUUUUUAUCGGCUAAAAAGCUUACCGCGGUACACGUUUCUCAGACAUGUUCCUUACCGCGGGAAGCAUUUCUCGGCUAAAAUCUAUUUUCACCCAUGUGCAUCAAAGAUUGCAAAUCCGGGGAAUCUUCUGGUCCGAAUCAGUCAACGGGGUCUGCAUCAAAGUUGGAGAUAAUCAAUCCAAGAUCCCAGAGCAGUUAGAAUCACAUAAUUCGGAGCAGUGAGUAGAAAGAUAUCACCACCGGAAGACACGCCUGUAUCGCAUGCAUUCAAGAGCCGAUCCGACGGGUUUCAAAGAUUACGUGUGACGAUGAUUUUCCAGCUCUAAUCAGUCUACAACGACUUUAUCAAUAUUUUAGGUCUCUGAGUGCUCUUUCCGUAACAUCUGGGAUCACCCAAUUUGGAGCUGUGGUUUGGAAGAUAUCGUCUCCGGAAUAGACGUCAGUCUAAAAGCUGUUUUUCCGGUCAUUCCGAUGCAUCGCAAAGAUGAGCAAUCCGGGGAGCCUUCCACUUCCCAAGCUCCGAUUGUUUCUUCACAAAAUUUUGAGCUGAAUGAGUUAUCUUGAUCGUGGGACUGGUUUCAUGACAUUUGGAGUCGUAUGCUGAAAAUUACUGCAACCAGAAGACGAGUUGGUCGAUACAAGCCUAGAGAGUUGCGAUACGUGCUAAGUGUUUAUUCAAGCCUCGGCUUAAUUACCUCAGCAUUGCUUAGAACGAGGCUCGUCCCCUGAACCUCUUUGGAAUAGACCUCGUGCUAACUCCUCGGUGUAUCAAGAUCGAGGCAUGCAUGCUGGAGAAGCAAAGCUGAAAACGACUAAGUGUUGGACGUGAACCUCAGUUUCAAGACCUCGGUAUUGCAUGUCGGACUUCUCUGCCUAAAUCCCUCGACUACCAAGCCCCUCGGCAUUGCAUGCCGAGAUCCCUUGUCACAAACCCAGAUUCAAGAACAGGUUGACUCGGAGAAUGCACGUGAAGAUGGAUUGAAGACUAGGGUUCAUGCAUGUUCUUGACGUGUACUUCAUGAGAUCUUCAUUUUGAUCUUUGCUCACGUGCACCCCUCGGCAUCAAGACCUCGGCUUCACUCUCUCACACACCGAGGUGCUCACCUGACGACCCAAGAAGAACGUUCAGUACCCGGUUUGUUCCGGGCUGACCCGCAGCACUUACCCCUCACUAUAAAUAGAUUUUAGGACCAAAAACCUAAUCACCUUUUAUCUUAUCUUAUUUCCUGCCUGUUUUAGCUGUAAGAACUUGCCUCUUUUGUGAAACUUGAUUAAUCUAACCCGAUAUCUCGUUUUCACGUGAAGAUCUUGUUCUCUUUCAUUUCUUUUAUUCACCAGCAUCAAAGCUUCUAAUCAUGACCAGCUACACGUCUUGCAAAGGAUUUAGUGAGCUCGUUAUGAUUAGUGAGUAGUCCAUUUAAGAGGUUUUAGAUAGGUAGAUUAGGGUGUUUCCAUGAUAGAUUAACGAGUUCAGGGGUUUAGUUUGCAUGUUUCAUUUCUUAGCCGAUCAGCUCUCUAAGCUGGAUCCAAGCACAUCACUUGCGGUCCAGAUCUAAGACUUUCCUCGCAUCAAAAGUGUUUGAGGAAAUGUCUGAACCAAUCGGUUAAGGGUUUAAGAGUCUUACAUCGCGAGAGUGAUAGUUUGUUCUUCUUAAACGACUUAUUAAUUGAACUGGAUUUUAAAGCUGACUGAUUCAUGCUUCUCAAAAGGGAAUUUGGUAUGAAAGAGGAUCAGUUUAGAUAUUUUGAGUUCAUGUUAAAUGAAAGUGCUUGAUAAUAUUGAUUCAUUAACUCACUAGUUUAGCUUGGAAACACCGAGUCCUUUAUCUUGUCUAAAGCCUCUGCCUUUAUCAUUUAUUAUCAUCAUCCGAUCAUUUGCUUGUUUGCUUGUUAUCAUUUGCAUCUUCAUCUAGUCUAAAUAUCAUCGCUUGCUUUAUUUUUGUCCUUUCUUGCAUUUCAAGUAGAUUAGUUAUCAAACCUUGCUUGAUCAUCUUGACUUAAGAUUACAAGUAACAUAGAUUAGUGCUUCUCCACAAGUUUGGUUUGAUAACCCCUUGUACUACAAGACAUGGGAUUGAUACCUCUAUAAAGAGCCUCAAAAACUCUUAGUUAUCACCACCAUUUCCAAACAUGGACUCCAUCCUACAAACAAAAUGUCUAUUAUCUCAACAUCCUAAUCUGAAACUACCACAAGCUUUAACAAUCAUUUUUGCCAACUCACUGAACUGUUCGAGCAUGUGUAGAAGCGCCUUCCAGGAUUAGUGGUUGUGUGAGAAGUAACAAGCACCACCGUAGCAGCUCCGCAAAAGCACCUCGAUGGAAUACCGUGAAAACCAUGAUGCCGAACCCUUGAGCUGAUGCUUGAACUCGAUGAAUCAUUAUUCUGACUGAGUGUCAUCUUCCCUGUUACAAAAUCAGAACUUCAUCAACCCAGAUUAUCAACCCACUAUGAUAUGAUAUUGAAAAAGCUCAUGAAGACAUAUCUGCCUUGUUCUACACUGAUUGGGUCCAAGAUCAACUCACACAGCUCAAAGACCACUUGGAAUACAUUCUCACCUCAUCUGGAGCCCGUCUCGAAAAAGAAUCAGUCCAAUCCGAGUUCAGAUGAAGAAGUUAUUGAGUUUUCCAAUCAGGUAAACUCGAGGUUAUUCAAUUUGGACCUACGCGCGUUCAAUGGAGGAUUCCGACCAAUCCAAAAUGAAAUAUUUUAUGAUCCGACUUGUUCUGGAAUCUUGAUUCAUCACAGAAGCAUGGAGAAUUGGAAUCACUUCCAAAAGACUUCAGACUUGGAAGAUAUGGAUUUUACAACUCAGUGAUCUGCUUCAGACCCAGUUCCGCGUCCGAUCCAAAGUUUGAGGUCCAGAGCCCAACUCAGAAACGAUCUCGACAUGAAACCAAUUGGAGAAUCUUAACGGAUCUGUUCUGGUUCCAACAAGCCCAAGAUUAGAAGAAAUUGCCAUCGGAUCUCAGAGAUACACCUCAUUUGCCUAAAUGGGUCAACAUGGUUCUAUACUUGAUGAUUUCUAGGCCUGAUUGGUUUGAGAGCUUGCAGGCUUACGUUUGGCAUCCAGGAGGCUUUUAUACUAAGCCCAAUAUGAAGAAAUGACUCAGUCCAUCUUGUUUCUGAUCAUCAAAAUUCGUUCAAAGGAGUUAAAGAUACAAGAAGCUCAAGGGUUAUUCAAAGAACAUCAAGAGUCAUUCAACUAUUAGUUAAUGUUUGUCUUUAAUUUUAGUCUAAGUAAUAAUUCUGAGAUUGCCUUGUUUUCUUCACAUUUCUACUCUACAUAAUCAUGUAAUCUCUAAGAGAUAUAAUCAGACUAUCUUUUUAUCAAACUUCUUCUUUGAGAAUGAUUCUCACAUUUUUGUUCCUUAUGAACAUUUUCUGAUUAUUUGGAGGUUAUCCUUUGAUCAUCUCACGGUGAGUCAUAUCCGUGGUUCGAUUGUUGGUGAGUCAUAUCCAUCAAUCAUAACUCGAUCUGUUAGGUGAGUCAUAUCCAGACGAUCACAAACUUGGCUUGUUUUGGUGUGUCAUAUCCAAGGAGCCAUUUCGGUAAAUCAGAAGCCUUUCCGCAGCUACCUGUGUGACCAUUCAGUCCACAUCCUUUGUUCUUUGAAGCCUUUUGGUUCCUUAGAAGCAAAGCUUAUCCAUUGCGAACUUCAGAGUGCCGAUUCCUUGGGAGGAUCGUAUCACACUACGAAUCUCAAAUAAUGACUACUAACAUUACCAAUUCGAGGCAUAACCUUAGCUAACUUUUCUCUGAUUGAAUUUUAACUAAACCAAAAUAAGAGAACGGAGAAAAUUAAUUCGAGAAGGAGAGAAUGAGACUAAAUACCUGUUAUAGAGAAAGACUUACGCGAGAGACGAGAAAGAGGAAGGCGAAAGCUUCAAAAGGAGAUUGGAAGAUGAAAGGAGAAGUGUUUGGCCGGAGAAGAGUUUGGUCGGAGAAGAGUUUGAUGGGAUGAGAGUGUGGUGAUGAGUUUGAUUGGAGAAGAAGAAGAUUGGAGAAGAAGAAGUCGACAGAGAACAAGAACAGUCAGAGAGUUUUGUGAGGGAGAGAACGAGGUUUGGUUGAUGAAGAAGAAAUUUUUCUGCGCACAACCAUCAACCCUAUCACAACGUCACAUGUCUGCAAUAAGAACGGAUCCUUAAAUUUUUUAAUUCAGAAUCGGUUCUUAUCAUUUAAUCUAUUUUUCAUUUAUUUUUAACCCAAAUAAUUAUAAGAAACCUAACAAGAACCCUGCAGUAAACGUGGCCUAAUAAUAUUUGUGCCAUCGGUCCUUUACAAUACCCGAACCGAACCAGAAAUUUUUCGUUUGGUUUAACUUCGGUUCCCCUUUUUCUCCAUCUACCCGAACAGCUUAACCCAACAAAUAUAUGCGCACCAGCCAUAGUAAUCUCUUUCCAAUGAUAAGAUGCCUCUGGUGUUAUCCCGAAUGCUAUCACUUAACGCUACUGUGAGCCUCCCACUUUCGAACCACCGCUUAAAGCUAACAUGCGCAGCAUUAUCCCCUCCGGUAUGGAAGCAGAGCCGCCGGCGAUUGAUCACCGUCUCUUUAUUCCUCUCCCGCUUCCUCCUCCCUAAUGGUGACAUCUUUCUCUUCAAAUUCACCGAUUCGAUUCUCAAUUUCCUGAAAUUCAAUCGAAAAGUCAAUGAUUCGAUUUUUGCUCUACUUGUCUUUGGUAUUUGUAUGUUGAAAAUCAGAUGCCAUAGCAGGUAGUUUAAUUGAUAAGUACGUCAAAAGGUAAAUCGUCUCCAAAUAUAUGUUUUAUCUGAUAAUCUGAAGUUAGAUUUUGCAAAUGUAUUUUUACGAAUUUUCAGUCCAAUGCUUGGUGAAAAUCUCUAUAACUUAAACCAGUUUUGAAUAGGAAGAAACUUGAUCCACUUGAAGCAUAUGUACCACCAGUUUUUCUAGCUCAGCUACAGAUCCAAGAUCUUGGUAACUUUCUGUAUUUAUGCGCUCACAUCUUCUUAAAACUGUGUAACUAACACUAUAUCUAAUUUAUAAUGUUCGGAGAGAAAUUUUUGAAUGUGGAGAAACCUGAAUUCGAGGCUUGUAGAUCGUUACUGCGGUCUGGUCCUGCUAGCUCUUUGCGUGUAAACAUUCGAGCCGUAAGUUUAUAUGCUCAAAAAACUUGUAAACAUUGUUGUUUUGCUCCUGUUCGAUGAUAAUGUAUGGGAUUUAACCUCUCUUCAGGUUGCUCAGUACGCUUCAGAUGCUGGUUAUUCCGAAACCGCGUCUGCUGAUGUUGAUCGAUGUCUAAGGUAUUAAUAGUUCUCAGGAAUGUUGAACUUUACGCAGCGAAUGAUGAUUAUUUUGUAUAUGUAUAUAUGUUGCGUUUACACAGAGCAUUGGAAGAAAUGGAUUCGCUGUUUCUACGUGCGUCGAGGAAGGAUCCAAAUGCAACUGUUGAAUUGAUGAAGUCACAGCUUGGAACAGCUUUAACCGCACUGGAUAGGUAAUCUGUAUACACACAGCGCGCACACACAGCAGAAAAUAUUUGCUAACCGAAGAACACUUGCUACAGUCUUCUACAAACAGUUCCUUCUCCAGUGCUUGAUAAAGGGAAAGCUAUGGCGGAAGUCUACAGAUCACCAUCCGAACAAGACGAUCUUUCAGAGUCCUCUGAAAUACAGCAACUCCAGUCGAUACUGUGAGUGAGGUCCCAACAUGGACUUUUACUAUCCGAAAAUAGUUCUUGAUCUUACAACAUUGGUAUCCAAAGCUUCUGAUUCUGUGUAUGAUCAUGUAUUAUUAACCUCAACUGGUGAAGGAAAUAUAACAUUUGCUUAUAAUAAAACCUCAAUAGAGUGACUUCUUACCAUAUUUGCAUGUAUUAAAUCCAGUACCAUUUAAGUUAAUGUAUAAUUUUAACUCUAAUACUGAGUCUGAACUGUGUCAAAAAUGAGAUUUUCUUGUCUUGCAAUAGAUCUCACAUUAUUACAUGUUAUAUAUAAGGGUAAAAUGAAAUAGGAUGACGAUCUAUUUCCACACGAGAACUAUCAUUCAGAUUCCCAUUAAAUUAUGAUCCCAUUUCAAAUCUAUACAAAAUCAAAGUUUAAGAUCUAAAUUCCACGAUUUUAAACUUUGAUAUUUAAUUCCCCACAAAUGUCGGUUUUUAUGAUUUGUGAUCUAAAACCAAGAGCUAACCGUUAAAUUACAAAACCAAACCAAAAAUACCUGACCCAAACAAAAAACGCAUACCCUAAACUCGACCCAUAUAUAAUUUUUUUUGUCAUCCCAUAUAUCAUCAUUUUAAAAUCCCCAAUUUGGGAUCCCUAAUUUAGUCUGAAAAUUUCCAAAUCUAAAAUUUGAAUAAGAACCUUAAAAUUGAUUUUCGAUUGAAUCUUCAUCAAUCAACAAAAAACCAUAUUCUUUUGAUAAAUAAAAAUGAGAUCAACUCAAAGAACAUUGGUGUACUAUGGUAAAGAACAAUAUUUGGAUUGUCGUCUCCAAUUUUGAUUUCUUAUCCCAACAGCAAAAAAAAACCUUUUUCUAUUUUAUUGAAUUAGCUAAGGGAGAAGCUCUCCUUCAGCCUUACAGGUAUCCAACGUUUCAAUGGCUCCUCGAUGAGAUUCUCAUACACUUGUAUUCCUUUGAUUGGUGGAGUCUUGAACAUGUAUCUGCAGAUUCUAAUCAUGUUGCUGCUGCAAUCUCGAGAUGGAAUUUCUGGGUAACCGAAAGAAUGAAGCCUAAGCUGUCUCAGUUGAACUUGGCUAAUGGUGAUUCACAUGUUUAUUAGACAGUACAUAAUUCAAUUAAGCAUCCACUAAUUCUUGAAAAUUGAGAACAGCAUAUAGCAAAUUAAAUUGAAGGAACCAAAGUUUCUUGUUGUCGUUUGCGUAACGUCACCACUCCGAUUCGCAAGCCUUAUCUUUUUUCAACAGAAAAAAUCCAACAAAACCACAUCGUAGAAAAGGAUGGAGAAAUCCUAGUUUGAAUAUGUGUUAGAGAGAGAGAGAUGUGGAAGUAGAAGAUGAUUGAGAAAUCGAC
rnacentral:lncRNA from 1 species